rnacentral:rRNA from 1 species
UGGGAUUAGAUACCCCACUAUGCCUAGCCCUUAACACAAAUAGUAGAUACACAACACUAUUCGCCAGAGAACUACAAGCGAAAAGCUUAAAACUCCAAGGACUUGGCGGUGCUUCAAACCAACCUAGAGGAGCCUGUCCUAUAAUCGAUACCCCACGUUAUACCUCACCACCCCUAGCCAAUCAGCCUAUAUACCGCCGUCGCCAGCCUACCUUGUGAAAGUAACAAAGUAAGCAAAACAGUUACUAACUAGUACGUCAGGUCAAGGUGUAGCAAACGGGAUGGAAGAGAUGGGCUACAUUUUUACAAAGAAGGCACACGAAUAGUCUGUUGAAACACAGACUCGAAGCUGGAUUUAGUAGUAAAAUAAACAAGAAAAGUUAUUUUAAACCCGCUCUGAAGCGCGCACACACCGCC